rnacentral:rRNA from 1 species
ACUCCUACGGGAGGCAGCAGUGGGGAAUAUUGCACAAUGGGGGAAACCCUGAUGCAGCCAUGCCGCGUGUGUGAAGAAGGCCUUCGGGUUGUAAAGCACUUUCAGUAGGGAGGAAGGUAGUGUAGUUAACACCUGCAUUAUUUGACGUUACCUACAGAAGAAGCACCGGCUAACUCCGUGCCAGCAGCCGCGGUAAUACGGAGGGUGCGAGCGUUAAUCGGAAUUACUGGGCGUAAAGCGCAUGCAGGCGGCCUGUUAAGUCAGAUGUGAAAGCCCGGGGCUUAACCUCGGAAUUGCAUUUGAAACUGGCAGGCUAGAGUCUUGUAGAGGGGGGUAGAAUUUCAGGUGUAG